GACGUAGGGCGCGAGCGUUGUCCGGAUUUAUUGGGCGUAAAGAGCUCGUAGGCGGCUUGUUGCGUCAGCUGUGAAAACCCGCAGCUCAACUGUGGGCUUGCAGCUGAUACGGGCAGGCUUGAGUUCGGUAGGGGAGACUGGAAUUCCUGGUGUAGCGGUGAAAUGCGCAGAUAUCUGGAGGAAUACCGGUGGCGAAGGCGGCAUCCUGGACCAUUACUGACGCUGAGGCGCGAAAGCUAGGGGGGCAAACAGG
rnacentral:rRNA from 1 species